ACAUUCCCAUAACCUCAGUAUAUAAGGUAUGCUGAGGAGGCCUCAAGCCAUUCCAGGCUCUUCUGUGCCUGUGGGACUACAUUCUCUGUGCCGGGCUUAGAGAACACGAAGAGGGAGCCAUCUGCCACACUCUGGAGGCUGAAGCCUGCACCAGUGCUGCUCGCCUCACUGUGGUAGGUGGUGGUGAUGGAAACUGCAGAUCGGCCAGAGUGGUAGAAAAGUUGCUGCAGGGUUUUUCUGGCUUUGCCUGCCCAGCUGCUCCAUGCCUGGCUAGAGGAGAAGGAGGAGCCACAUGUGGUACACUGGAGGCUGGAGCCUGCAGAUGGCAUGGCUCUGCGGCUCACCUUGCUGCAGUUGGUGGUGGUGACAGAGACUGCAGCUUGACUGUAGUGGUAAGAGGAUGCCUGUGGCAGCCAGAUGAUAGGGGCCUUAUAGGGUGGGCCAGUGCAUUGAGGGUGACAGCAGAGGUGGUUGUAUUGGCAUCAGUGCUAGUGGUGGCAGCAGCAGCAAGUCUGGGAAAAGAAAAGAUGAAAAAGAAAAAUUCACAACUGCCAGAUCUUCUCCUGUCUGGAAGUGUUGUGUGUGCUGCCAGUACAGGACACCCGUGGGCCACUGGAGGGGGAAUUCAAGACCUUUUCUAUGGUGUUUAAAGACAAGGGCGAGUUGUAGGUGGGAACCAAAGUCAAACAAACAGGUGGGGAGGAGAGCUGGGUACUCCCUUUCCCUGACUCAGCCUUUUAUUGAUGAAGGCAGGGAUGGGAUGGGGAGAGCUCACCUGGCAAAGACUCCACACAGGUGUGCAGCACACCCUGAUGGGGCCAGAAAAUGUCACUGUGAGCCCUAGGGGUGAAAGACACAGUGAUGGGCUGCUGGGCAACUACCAAGUGUAGAGAUCCUGAGUGCCCAGAGAGUUACCAACCACUUCCCUUCCCUGUGCAGAUCAGUGGAGGCAGAUACAUACACAAAAUGGGAAGGGGAAAGAAAACGGCUUUCAGAUCUCCCCACCAUAGAGACUAUAAGAUUAUUCCAGAAUGGCCACAAUUUUUUCACUGCCCACUCUGGGCCAAACAGUGUCCAUACACUACGUCAUUCUUAUGAGGGUUACUUAGUUCCAUUUUAUGAUGAGGACAUUUAGGCUCAACUUGUCCCAGGUCACAUAACUGUUAAGUAAUUGUAUUUUCCAAGAAUGAUCCUCUUUCAACCUCACGAUGAUGCUUCCAUGGUUGGAAAAUAAAAUUAUUCACAAAAGUGAAAGUACUAGGGGCAGCUGCAGGGCUACAGGCCUUUGAAGACAUUGCUCAGUCUCUUCAGAUAGUUUCUUUCACAUGUUCUAUACCUUGGUUCCCCAAAACAACUCCUCCAUUAAGACUGCUCAAAAUUGAAAUAACACUGUGGCACAGAUGUUUUGCCCAUCAAAUUCACAAAGAUCAAAAAGGAAGGACUGAAUAGGCAGAGUGGGUAUGUGUUAAGAAAACAUGUUCUCAUACACUGUACUACUUGUGGCAAUAUAAACUGAUAAAACUUUGUAGAGGGAAAUAUGGCCAAGUGAGUCAAAAGUUUUAAACCUGUUAAUAUCAUUUGGCUCAGAAAUUCUACUUGUAGGGAUUUAUCUUAAGGAAAUUUUCACAAAUGUACACAAAGAUUAAUUACAAAGAUGUUUAGCUUCAAUGUUGUUUGGAAACUAACAUAACGUGCAAUAGAGGCCUGGUGAACUGAGUACUGGGACCUUCACACUGCACAGGGGAGCAAGAACCUCUUCUCUUGCCUCUGCUUUGUGGGAUUUUCCAAAAUCCUCCUGGCUUCUUUUCCCUUCCCUUCCUUCUUCCCAGAGCAGGGGCCAGCUUUACCUCAGUUGGUAGGUCACACACAUUGGGUGGAGAUGGUCAAAGGUCCUCUGCUUGGACAAGUUGCUCCCUGUCUUCAUUCCUCUGGCCAAGGCCAGUGUUAGGUGGGGACUGGUGAGCUGUCUGGCCCCACAGGGCUAAGCUUUCCUUUAGGUGGGUUUAUCCCACUUCUCAACAGUCUAACAAAGAACAGAUUCCACAAGCCCACUUCGUCUCUUGCUGCAAGCUAUGCCUUCCGAUUCUGCCUUCAUUAGAAAUAAGGGUGAUAUUUUGGUUCUCCACCUGCUAUUUCUCGAUUUGGGUGGGGAAGAUGGGUGCUACUUACUGAACUCUCCCAAAGACCUUCAAGAACACUGAGCAGAAUACCAUCUAGCCAUAAAAACUGAUGUAGAAAAAUACUUAUGAUUGGAGGAAAAUCAUGGGAUUUUAAAGCAAAAUAGCAGGUUACAAAACAGCAUGUAAUAAACAGCUGAAAAAAAACAGGGGCAUAGCAAUGUAUUGUGGUUAUUUUCAUCUUGCUUUAACCUGUUUGAUUUCAAGCUUUAUUUUAUUUGCACGCAAAGCAUCCUAACUGCUGUUGGCAGUCCUUGUGUGCUAUGAGACAUCCUCACAGUAUCCUUCUAAGAAAUUCACUGUUUUACUCAAGCUAGUUGAAAUUUGCAUUCUAUCACUGCAGUUAAGAGAGUAAACAAAUAAAAUGUUCAUGUUUCUAAAAACCCUGAAGAAGACAGAUUGACAGAGCUACCUUGUAUAGCCAGAGAAAAGCAAUUUACCUUCCAAUUUUCUCAAUAUGACAGUAUUUCAUCUAUCUCUGAAGAUAUAAAGACUAAAUUAAAAGUGGUAAUGUGGACAUUAAUAAGAAAAGAAAGGGAAAUAAGAAUUAUGAGGAUUCAUAUGUGCUAAGUACAUUCAGAAAUUUACAAUUUCCUAACAAAAUGGAAAUGUUCUAUCAGUUGGAAAAGCAUGCAGAAACAAUUGUACUUCCAUUCAGACAUUACCUUUUGAAGCCUGUCACCCCAGUGAGUGAGGGAAGGAAGUAAACAUAUCUACCAGAGGCAGGAAAAAAACUUACUUCAAAAGAUCACUUAGCAAGAACUUCUUAAUUAUCAACGAAGCUUUGGUGAAGAUGCAGCCAGCUGGAUAUCAUACAACAGACACUAUAUUAGUCACUAGUUAAAUAAAGAUGAAAGGAUACAAGUCCUGACUUCAAUUUGCCCACAGUUUAGUGGGGAGAUAAACAUGGAUAAAGUAUAAUUAUAGGUUUCAUUUCGUAUGCUGGGUACAAUGGUGUGUGCCUGUAGUAGUUACAGCUACUCAGGAAGCUGAGGUGGAUUUUUGAGCCCAGGAGUUUGAGGCUGCAGUGAGCUAUGGUCACACCUAUGAAUAGCCACUGCAUUCCAGCCUGGGAAACAUAGCAACACUCUAUCUCUUAAAAAAAUUUAAAAGAAAUUGGAUCACGCAAUUAUGGAGGCUGGCAAGUCCAAAAUCUGCAGGGUUGGUUGGCAGGCUGAAAACCCAGGGAAAGACAAUGCUGUGGUACAGGUCUGAAGGCAGGCAUGUGGACACCCAGGAGAAGCUGAUGGUGCAGAUAAAGGCAAGAGGCAGUAUUCUCAAGAAUCCCCUCUUGCUUGGGAAGGUUGGUCUUGUUCUAUUCAAGCCUUCACAUGAUUGGACAGGGCCCACCUAUAUUUGGAGGGCAUUGUUUUACUCAAAGUCCACUAAUUCUAAUGUUAUUUUCAUCUAUAAACACCCUCACAGAAACACCAAGAAUAAAUAAUGUUUGUCCACAUAUCUGGGCACUGUGGCCCAGUGAAGUUGCUACAUACAAUUAAGCAUCACAGUGUCUGUCCUAAGAAUGUGUGGUGCACAGCCCUGAACAUGGGACUGUGAUGCUCCGUGAUGGUGCAGGGUGUGUAAUACAUCACUGCGUUACAGACCUAUAGACUGUACCGCAGAAAGAGUGAAUGUGAACCAGUGUAACCUGUGGACCCUGGGUCAGUGUAGGUUCAUGGGUUGUAACGUGUACCGCUCUGGUGGAUGUAUGCACAUGUUACACAAGAGUGUGUAAUACAUACUCUUUCUACAGACCUCUGGGGUUGGUGCCCUGCAGCAUCACACAUGGCCUGGUCUGGCCUCCUGUGCUCCUUGGGGGGCAGCUGACCAUGAGGUCAGAUGAGCAUGAUGUGCCAUCCCAUUGCUCUUCCCAUCACCCUGGCCAGGCUUUGUGAAUAAUCUGUGUUCCUUGCUUCUAUUUCCUCAUCAUUUGUUCCUUACUUUUUCUCUUGGCUUCUCGCUCCAUUCACCAUUCCCUCAGUUCUAAAAUUCCCUGGGAGCCCAGUGUCCUCCCUGAUGCCUUGCAGUGCUGAGCGCUGUCACCAUUCUACCACUCAGAACCCUUUCCUCUCUCUGCCAUGAUCCAUGCUCUCUUGUGGUGUCUUCAGCUCAACAGUUUGUAACAGCUGCAUCAGGUGCUGUAUUAGUCUGUUACAAACAAAUGUUACAAAAAAAUGCCCAGGACUGGGUAAUUUAUAUUUAUUUAUUUAUUUAUUUUUGAGACGGAGUCUCACUCUGUCGCCCUUGCUGGAGUGCAGUGGUGUGAUCUCAGCUCACUGCAAGCUCCGCCUCCCAGGUUCACACCAUUCUCCUGCCUCAGCCUCCCAAGUAGCUGGGACUACAGAAGCCCCCCACCACAUCCGGCUAAUCUUUUUUUGUAUUUUUAGUAGAGACGGGGUUUCACUGUGGUCUCCAUCUCCUGACCUCGUGAUCCGCCUGCCUCCCAAAGUGCUGGGAUUACAGGCAUGAGCCACCGCACACAGCUGGGACUGGGUAAUUUAUAAAGAAAAGAGGUUUAAUGACUCACAGUUCCACAUGGCUGGAGAGGCCUCAGGAAACUUACAAUCAUGGUGGAAGGCGAAGGGGAAGCAAGGCACGUCUUACAUGGUGGCAGGAGAGAACGAGUGAGGGGGGAGACUGCCACAAACUUUUUUUUUUUGAGACAAGAGUCUGGCCCUGUUGCCCAGGCUGGAGUGCAGUGGCAUGAUCUCAGCUCACUGCAACCUCUGCCUCACAGGUUCAAGCAAUUCUCAUGCCUCAGCCUCCCGCAUAGCUGGGACCACAGGUAUGCACCACCACACCUAGCUAAUUUUUGUAGUUUUAGUAGAGAUGGGGUCUCACUAUGUUGCUCAGGCUGGUCUAAAACUCCUGGGCUCCAGCAAUCCGCCUGCCUUGGCCUCCCAAAGUGCUGGGGUUACAGGCAUAAGCCACCACAUCCAGCCUGCCACAUACUUUUAAACUAUCAGGUCUCAUGAGAACUCAUGCACUAUCACAAGAAUAGCAUGGGGAAAAUCCCCCCCAUAAUCCAAUCACCUCCCACCAGGUCUCCUCCGACACGUGGGAUUGGGUGGGGACACAGAGCCAAACCGUAUCAGAUGCUGCAGGGGCUGGGGACACUGAGACCACUCAGACCUGGUGUCUCUGUCACUCUUCUGGGCUCUGUCUGUCUCCAGGACCUCCCUCCCCUUCCAUGGUAUAGAAGGAAAGUGCUGUAAUGUGCAAAUUGCACAGGAACUCCUUAAGACAUACAUUAUCCACUCAGCAGUUUUAGGUUCGCAGCAAAAUGGAGUGGAAGGAACAGAAAUUUCCUGUGCACCCCUCCCCGCUGUCUCCGCCAUAUCGGCAUCCUGCAUCCAGAGUGGUAGACUGGUUACAGGCUAUGAACCUACACUGAUGCGGCACCACCACCCAGAGUCCACAGGUUAUGUUGGUUCACAUUUACUCUUGCUGUGGUAUGGUCUAUAGGUUUGGACAGAUGUCCGAUAAUCCUUUUUACAUUUUGGCAUCCUUGGGUAGCUCGUCUUGCAGGAAUGGACUUGCUUCAAAGUGGAGGCAGGCAGAUCCUUCAGAUGGGUAUAUGGAGCCCUGUUUUCAGUUGCUUUUCUAAUUCUCUCUUAUCGUUUACCUCAAAAUCUUCCUGAGGUCUCGCUUCCUUUUAAAAUCCUUGUCUACUUUGCAGCAUCACUCUGACACUCCAUUGAUUCCUCAGCACCUACUGACUACACGGUUAGGAGUGCAAGGGUAGAAUUCAUGUUUUAUUCAUCUUUGGGUCUGUAGCACCCAGCAAAGUGCUCAGUAAAUGCGCAGUAAUUGAUUUGACCUCUGAACAAAUACACACUGUACUAAGAAUCUACACACCGAAAGACAAAAACAAGACAAAUUUGAGUGCUACAGGUGUCACGCUUGGCCUCACACAUGUGCCUGUGUAUUCCUCUAGGUGGUUACCAGGAGCUCUGCCACUGCAUGUCCACUAGUGACGGGUUCGCUCCACCACCCCAGCUGGGUAGCCGCUGCUCUCACAUAAGGGGUCCAAUUAAAAUUGCCAGGAAUAAAUUCCCCCGGACUUUGACUUCUCAAGAGCUAAGAAGGUUUGCUGAGUAUUCUGGCAUGAUGUUUGGUGAUCAAACAACUGCUGGCCAAAAAUGAUGAGUAUUUCCCCCUCUUGCUGAAGAUGUGCUCCAUACAAUAGUCCAUCACAUUCAUCAUUCAUCAGUCUGGAAGUGUGCAGCCAAUCAUAUUAUCUAUCACAUGUUGUUCUGGCUUUUUUUUUUUUUCCAAUGUCCAGCCUAAACUAUAAAGAACUUUGAGAACGCACAGUGAACCAUAAGCUUGCCAAUAAAGAGUCCUCUGUGGUAUGGAACUGGCUUAUUUCAUACACAAUCUGCAAACAAUGAGGGCACUAUUGGAAACAUACUGUGCUGCACAGAGCAUUUACACCACUUAUCUUUAAUCUUCCCCAGCAAUCCUUGCUUUGUGCGCAUUUAUGAUCCUUGCUCUCAGAAGUCCACAUACUUUUCCCCAACCGUAACAAAUUAUUUAACUCAUCUAAUGUAUGUAUGUCCGCGCAGUCUGAAAACAGUAAUUGUCCUUGGGAAGAAGUGAGUUUAAGAGAGCUCUAGGGCACUCAUCACAACUCCAGCCCUGCCCUCCAUGUGGUAGCAGCUCUUUGGACUGGGGCUAAGUGCUUAUUCUUGUGCUUCAUUCCUGGUAAGCUCAAUUUCUUUACCUUAGGAUAACUUUGCUGGAAAAGGGCUCAGAUUCAGCCGACCAUUGUGGCCUCUGUGGCUGUCACAGCUUGUCCCUGACAUGCUAUGAUGUUGGGUCCCCUUCUCAUCCCCUUGGGAUUUCUUCUGCUGGCCCACAGCCAGAACAACUAGGCCUUUUACUCCACCAUCCCUUUGUUUUCUUUUGUUUCGUUGGUAAAAAUCAAUCCUUCUACCAUCCAUGCAUAGCAAUUUCUAAAAACUGAAUUUCAAGAGCAGUAUCUGAAGAAACAAACAUGAUUUGGUCCUUUUAGUAAACAGAAUAAAUUUUAAUAAAUCAACUUUGAAAUAGUUGUAAGAGUUAAGAAAAAGCACAAAACUGAGAUCAUCAGAGCAGCUUGGCCUCAAAGGACAGGCAGCAGGAUUCUACAGGGUUUGAGCCUUCCUAAGUGAAGCUGUUUCCUGCAGGCUCCCUGCUCCAAGCUCCUAGCUAACAGCCCCUUCUCCCACGAUUGGCAACAAAGAGCAAAAAUAACUUUGUACUUGAUGCUGAGUCAGUGUAAAAAGCCAUAAAAAAUUCCCUCUAAAUGUCAAAAUGUUUGCCUCCUUUGAGGCUUCUCUCCUCCUACUGGGUCUGGAUAAAUUAGCACUGGGCUUAUAUUGAGUCACAGAUCUGGGCCCUGCCACAGAGAGCUUCCUCCUAGUGUGUGAUGCUUUUUCUCCAAACUAUUGAUACAAAAUGCACUGGAAUAGAAAUCAACAGAAACUGGUCAAAGGUGUGGCAUACACAUUCUCAUGUAGAUGUAAAGCUGUGCUUAGAAUUCCUUUGUGGAGUCUGGUUUGGUCUUGGUUUUCUUGGUGUUUGAUUCAUUUUUUUACGUAAAUUACAAAAACCCUCCACAUUUCUUCAUGGAUUGUAUUAGUCCAUGUUCUCCAGAGAAGCAGAACGAGUUGGAUGUAUGUUUUGGAAGAGAUUAUGAGGAACCGGCUCAUGUGAUGAAGGAGGUUGAGAGGUCCUGUGCUCUGCCAUCUGCAAGCUGAAGACCUGGAAAGCUGAGGGUGUGGCUCCAGUCUGAGUCUGAAGGCCCAAGAACCAGGGGAACCAACGGUGUAGAUUCCAGGUUGAAGGCAGGAGAAGAUGGAUGUCCCAGCUCAGCAGGCAGGCAGGAAGCAAAUGGGGUAAAUUCCUCCUUCCUCCACCUUUUGUUCCAUUCAGGCCUUCAACAGAUUGGAUGAGCGCACCCCCACCCCCACACUAGGGAGGGCCAUCUGCUUUACUGAGUCGGCUGAGUCAAGUGCCAGCCUCAUCCCAAAACACUCUCCAGACACACGCAGAAAUGUUUCAUCUGGGCACCCUGUGGCCAGUCAUGCUGACACACAGAACUAACCAUGACAUGGAUUCUUCUUAAAGCAGUGAUAGGAGCGAACAGAAACAUUUUCAUAAUUUUCAAUUAUUUUUAAUGAAAACUAUAUCUGAUGGAAUUGUUUAAACCUAGUCUGGCCACACAUUAUUUCCUGGGACCGCCCCUCCUUCAAUCCCUUGGACACUGAUGACUUUAUGCCCAGAUUACACUGGAGGCCUGUGCUGAUUUUCUAACACAUACCUGCAACUGAGCUGGCAAAAAGAAAACUAGGCAAGUAUGACAGAUACAUGAUGCACAGGCUAAGUGCAAAGGAAAGAAAAACACCAACUGCAGGGAUGAGGGACUCACCCCUUUAGAAGUUUCUACUUGAGCAGCUAGAAGACUACAAUGCCACUCAUCAAAACAGUGACUCAGGGGGAGUAUUUGGGAUAAAGGAGGAAUCUGAUGUUGGAGGUCAAAUUUGAAGUGUCUUUAAGACCUACAGGUAACGAGACAGCUGGACAAACACAUGGAACUCAGGACAAAGGCUCUAAGGACAGCACAGCAGCUGACAUCCUGUGUGACAGCCUUGAAAGCAGCAGGCCCGCCGCUCACAUUUUGGAAGGGAAAAUGGGUACAAUGUUGUCUGCCACUUUGGGGCCUUCUUGGGUCACAUGCAUUUUACAUUUAUGCAGUUGAUAUAUUUAUGUUUCCUGGGUCUUUUAUACAUUAGACACCAUGAUUCUCAAUCCUUUGUUAUUUUGUAUUACAAAAAGCUGAAUUAUUAUUUCAAAUAUGGGCAAAUUAGAGCCUUCCAUAUUGCCAAGGUGUAUCAACCACACUGAUAUCACGAUCUCUCUUUUGAAUUAGUUUUCCAGUUCACACCUACCAUUUAUUUCAUGAUUGGUUUCAGACUUGUUCCUCCUGGAAACACUCCCUAACAAGCACCCUUGCAGGAAUGAAGACACACCACACACAUCUACCCCAUUACUGCAUGUACUCAAGAGUCAGCUUUUAUAUGAUCUCUCCCAAGUGCUCCUAUAAUGGGGAUCUUUCACUCACCCUAAAGUGAGGACAAAAUACUUGAAAGCAUGAGCCCAGUGCCUGUAGGUGUGCAAUUAACCUCAGACCAAGGAAGUGCCGAACGCAUCUGGCUUUUAGCAAGGCACCUGACAAAGUCCUUCAGGAUGUUUUUGUACAUGAGCUAGAGAAAUGUACCUGGAGAACAGCUUCUACUGCCAGAUGAUCUUACUCAAAAGAUGCAGAUUAAGCAAAAUAUCAACCCAAAGGGUGGUCCCUGAUGGCCCACCAGCCCUGUGCCUGGCUCGUUUCCUAUGUUUCCUAGAUUUGGUUUCAGACUUGCUCCUCCUGCAGACACUCCCUAACCAGCAUCCUUGCAGAAAACUGGUGAACUAGAAAAGGCCUGUGUGGGUCACGUGGCCACCCAACACCACAGCAGUGUCUAAGGUAUGCGUGGGAGCCUGCACAGCAGGAGCGGGGUCUUCUGGAGACCCGCAUGAGAUGCAAAGGGCAGUGGACAAGGAGCCAAGGGAGGUGGCUCUAGUCACGCUGGUAUGGUGCCAGCUUGAGGAUGCUGGGCAAGUCCCGAGCCGUCUGCCUUCCUAGUACCACAGUUACCACUGUCUGUUACCUCGCGAGUUCAAGUGCUUCACGUGAGACAGCUACGAGACAGGCCCCUGGAAACUGGAAAAUGCUAAGUAAAUGUCAUGCACAAUUGUUGUUCACAUUUUAUCUCAAUCACUUUUACCAAAUCAGGCUAAACCCUGGGUAUUCAUAACGUCUUGGGCUGUACAAAUUGUUCCUUGAAAUGACUCAGAGACAUUUUCUGAAUUGGCUUCCAUCAGCCAAGCAUUUCUUCAGAACUGGAAAAAUGCUUUAAAUUUGGCUUUGUCAUGAUUAUUAAAACACUCUGUACAUUUUUUAUUAUUGAAAUUAACACAUUGCCUACUUUUUAAAAAUUGGAAAAAGAAAAAAGAAGAAAAAAGGCCUAAGUCUCAAUACCUACACACUAACAUUUUAUUCAUAAUCCACCAGUUUUUAUUAGGUUAUUUUCAGCGUUUACACAUUCAUAAGAACUUUAAAUUAGAUUUUUAGAAGCUGGUGGUAAAUUGUAACUACAGGAGAGAAUCUUCCCAAGAGGACUGUGGCUUAUGGAUUUAUUCCCAUCAUAGGGGAAAACAUUCAUAAUAAAAUAAUUUGCUACUGUGAUUUAUUCAGCUGUUAUUGGGAAGAAGUAAUGACCCCUCCACAUUCUGUGAAGCCUCUUGGAGGUUUCAUGUGCUCUGACUCUUCAUCAAAAUUACAUAUACUUUUAGCAAUUUUUAAAGAAGUGUACAAAGUUGAGAUGUUUCCUGAGCUCUCAUAUAUCUGAGAAUGUCAUUUUACAUCUCCGUCUUCACCUCUCAAAACUUCUUUCAAUUCUUUGGCUCUUAAUAGUAAUCAACACUUGCACUCUGGAGUCACUGUAAUUCUUGCUCCUUUACAGCUACGCCUGUUAUUUCCAGCUGAAUAUUUUUAGUUAUUUCCCAGGGUUCCAAAAAACAGCAAUAAGUACUACACAAAGGGGGUGGGCCAUAACCAGAAAUGUUUGGGAAAUACUGGCUCAUGUAUGCAAUGCCAAAUCUGGUUUGCGAUUGUAGUGUUGCUCACAUGCAGAGUGAAUCUUCAGAGAAUCCAUGCAUUUUCCAAAUAUAUUUAAUAACAGGACCCUUCUGAGUUCCUGGUACACCAACUAACAGUUCCUGAGAAGUGUUCUUUCUGCAAAGCCCAUCUUGGGAUAUGCCAUAUAUUUUAAUUAAACUCAAACUUUAAAUUAAACUCAAAUAUUUUAUUUAAACUCUCAAAAAAGCAGAAUAUAUCUAGAUGAGGUCUCUUUCCACUAUGUUUUAAUCUGGAAUUCAGAAUUCUCUCUUUUGUUUGCUUUUUAAAAAACUGUGGUAAAAUAUACAUAAUAUACCAUUUACCAUGGAGCAGAACCAUUUGAAUGUGUAUAGUUCAGCGGCACUAAGGACAUUCGCAUUGUGUGCCACCAUCAGGGAUUCUUUCGAAUUGCACAGCCAUUCUUUCAGCUUAAAAAUGGUUUCUUGAAAUCAGUGAUUAGCAUUCACUCACCAGUACCCCUACUAAGGGGUAGGCACUGGUUUGUACUCCUGGGAAUACAGGAGUACACCAGAAUUUAUUUCUGCUUAUUGCUUUUGUUGCAAAUGCCGUGGCUUCAUCUGAGGAAUUCUAGAAUUCAGAGGGUGUAGCCCUCCACUCUGCUGUCUUGCUAUCUGCUCUCAUUGCAUCUGUUUAACCUGCAUUCUGAAAGAUGUUUCUCAGGUUUUUCCUUGACAAUUUUCUUCUUUUCUGAUUCUGACAAUGUUUUAAAUCAUUGUACUGUGGUUAUCAUUUCUCUGCAUUUAUUUUACCCAUCUUCCUUUGUAACUUGUCCUAUUGUCUUUUAAUUUCUGCCUGUUCUUUAUGGCUUUCAACUUCAUAAAUAACAUGUUUUCUCAAAUCUCUUUGUGAAUUCCAGAGAGGGCCAGGCACGGUGGCUCACAUCUGUAAUCCCAGCACUUUGGGAGGCUGAGACGGGUGGAUCACUUGAGGUCAGGAGUUUGAGACCAGCCUGGCCAACAUGGUGAAAUCCCGUUUCACUAAAAAUACAAAAAUUACCCAGGCAUGGUGGCGGGCGCCUGUAAUCCCAGAAUCCAUGAGGAAAGUUUCGAAGUCCAGAUCCAAGUCGGAAACGAGGGCACUUACGAAGUCAUCAACAGAAGGACACUUCUGAAGCAUACCUGCAAACAAAGGAAAGGUCAGAACUGCGUUCACCAGGAGGCAACAGGAAGCACAAAGACACAAAAUCAAAUCCACACACUAGAGGAACACUCUGGCUUUCUGAAUUAAGACUCUGGCUGUAUAACCUGAAUGCAAGAACAUUUUAUAAAGUCAUGGGCAGUGUGUGGGCCUUGGAGCUAUUUAUAAUUUUAAUGUAUUUUUACUAUCAAAUCCAUCCUUAGCUUAGAGAUUUAGGCCUAAAUAUAUUUCCUAAGGGCUAUUAUUUUUGCAUAUAUGACUAUACCCUUAGAGACUGAUAUUAGAAGACUGAUUUUUUUUUAGUUAUCUUUGACUGGGAUGAUUCACAAUUUAACAAGUUUAAUUACAUAUCAAGUUUUGUUAUCAAGUUCUAUACACUUUACAAUCAAUUAGAUGUUAAUUCUUUUAUAGAAAUCUUAUAUCAGAAUCAAGUUAUUGGCUCUCCUCCAGAUUUCCCUGUCCCAGAGAACUCCUAGCUUUGCAACUUAGUAACUGUGUAACGCAGAAGUCACUUAAAAUCUCUGGCAUCCAAAUUUCCUACAAGGUUGCUAUAAGGAUCAAACAAGAAGAUGUAGUAGAAGCAAUGAAGCACCAUGCCUAGCAUAUAUUAAGAAUUCAAUAAAAAGCUGAAUUCAUGUCCUUUCUUCACUCUAAAGAAGCCAAAAACAAAGAUUGAUGCAAUUAACCUUAUUGCUUUAACCUACAUUCUUGGCAGGAAAUGCUAACUGAAGGGUUGAACAGGCUCUAUAUACUGAUAUUUACUUUGGGAGAUGAAUUCUGUAAAACCAUUUUCAAAAUCAAGGCAUUAAAAGAUUGCAGGAAUCCUCUAUUGUUCUCUGAACCUGUAUUGCAAUUCAGUGAACAUGAAGGAAGCAUCUGUUGUGUGUAAAGGAUCAGGCCAGGUCAUGGGCAUACAGGUGGGCAGGCUCAGUCACAACAUGAAGAGUGAGAGUAGUCGGCUGGGCAGAACUGCAUAUCCAUACGGCAGAAAACUAGCCUUGACUCCUACUGCAUACCAUACAUAAAAACUAAUUUGAGAUGGUCACAGACCUAAGUGUAAACACUAAAAUUAUUAUCUUAAAAAAACCGCAUGAAGUAUCUUUGUGACCCUGAAGUAGGUAUAGUUUCUUAGGACACAGAAAGCAAUGCAUAAAAGGAAAAAAUGUUAGAUUUCAUCAAAAUUUAAAAUGUCUCUUGAAAAGAAACCAUUAAGCCAAUGAGUAGACAAAUGAUAGUUGGAAAAAAUACUCACAAAACAUAUCUCACGUAAGACUGGUAUCCAGAAAAUAUAAAGAACUCCUUUGACCCAUUGUAAAAAUAUGUUUUUUUAAAUUACAAAUUGACAAAAGAUUUUACCUUCACAAGGUCAGGUUUUUCACAGAAGAUAUCUGAAUAAGUAACACAACUAAUAGGCACUGAGAAGACAUUCAACAUCAUUAGUCACUAGGGAAAUGAAAACCAAACCCACAAUGAGAUACUAUUACACAUCCACCAGAAUAGCUAAUUUUUUUUUUUUUUUUUUUUUUUUUUAAAGACAAGGUCUUGCUCUGUUGUCCAGGCCUGGACAACACAGCAUGUGCAGUGGUGUGAACAUGGCUCACUGCAGCCUCGACUUCCCAGGCUGAAGUGAUCCUCCCGUCUCAGCUUGAGAGUAGCUGGAACCACAGGUGUGUGCCACCAUGCCCAGCUAGUUUUUAAACUUCUUGUAGAGAUGGGGUCUUGUCAUGUUGCCCAGGCUGGUCUUGAACUUCUGGGCUCAAGCGAUCCUCCUGCCUUGGCCUCUCAAAGUGCUGGGAUUACAGGCGUGAGCCACUGUGCUACACCAAAUGUUGACAAGGCUGUGUGCAACCUGAAUUGUCAUACAUUUGUGGUGAAAGGAUAAAAUGAUACAAUCACUUUGAAAAAAGGUCUUAACCAGUGUCUUACGAAACUAAACAUAGACCUACACUAGGACCCAGCAAUUUCACUCCCAGGUAUUUAUCCAAGAGAAAUGAAAGCAUAUGUCAACAAAGAAACAACUUGUACAACCCCAAGCUUGAAACAACCCAAGUUUCUAUCAAUAGGACAUGAAUACACACACUACAAUAUAUUCAUAUGAUGGAAUAUUACUCAGCAACAAAAAGGAACAAACUAUUCAUACAUGCAACAACACAAACGGAUCUCAAAAACAUUAUGCUGAGUGAGAGAAGCCUUAUGUGAAGCAGUACAUACUGUUUGAUUCCAUUUAUAUGAAGUUCAAAAAGUUAGUCAAACCAAUCUAUGGUGAAAAAAAUCAGAACUGUGGUUGCUUUCGGGAGUGGAUAUUAGAAUCAACUGAGAAGGGGCAGGAGGGCCUCUGGUGUGAUGGUCAUGUUCUACAUCUGGAUAGUGAUUUGAGUUAUAAAGGUGUGUACAUGCAUCAAAAUUCAUUGAAAGGUACAUUUGAGAUUUUGCGUUUCACUGUAUGAAAAGUUUACCUAAAUACAGUAAGCAACUAUUGAACUCUAAUGCUAUGCAUGUAAACGAAUCUAGGUGUAAAAUGUACUGAUGUCUGCUACCUUGAAAUGCAUAAAAACAUAAGGCCAGAUACGGAGAUGAAGAGAUGUAAAUAUAGGAAAAUGUUUACUAAAUGGCAAGUAUAUGAGUGUUGUACUGUUCAUUCAAUUUUUCUGAAUAUUUGAAAAAUUUUAACAUAAAAUCUUGAGAAAAAGUAAACUGUAGAUGCUAAUAGCAUACAAAGUGCAGUCAGUGUGGAGAACAGAAGAGAAAGAUGAAUUCCAAUGAAGAGAUUCAGCAGGUUUGUGGAGGAGAUGGGAUUGAGCAGAAACUUAACAGAUUGGGCCUUUUAGGUGGAGGAGACAAUAUAGGAAAGGCACAAACCUGGGGAAAUGCACAAUGUAUGCUGACCAAGAAGUGGUCUGGCGGGUAGAGUAAGGCUGGAAGAGACUCUGGGAGAGGAACAUGAGAGGUCCCAGGGCUCUGAACCAGGGCAACCAACAGAAAAGGAAGGACAGACUGGGCUGGAAUCCAGGAGGAGCAGGGUGGUGUGGAGACACAACCCUUGUCAAGUUUGAGGUGGAAGGGGACACUCCAUGUGGAGACAGUGAGGACACAGAGCUCAGGGACAGCUUGGGGACUAGAGGUGCAGAUGUGAUCAUCCCACCAGAAAGCACAUGGGGUGGGAAAUAGACCAAGGACUAUCUAGAUGGUGGACAUGAAAAUACUUGGUCCAAACACAUACUUGAAAGCCCUUAACUAGACCAGGGGUAGUUGAGAACAAUACCAAUAUUGUUACAGUUUCAACUGUAGACUAAAAUAUUUUCACUGGCUAUCUAAUGUCUAUCUAAAUUCUAACAGCUCUAUCUUAGGUACUAUGUGAGGAAUAAUGGGCUGUUACUAGUUACUAGAAGAGAAUGUCAUUGCUGUGUCUAUUUGUGCAAUUAAAGUUCAAAACACAGUGUUCUUUUUUACAGUAAAAUAAUCUGCAUGCAUGAAUGCAGGCCUUGCCUCUGGCCCAGCUGUGUCACUAAGGAUAGAAACGCUGGGUAUGUGAUGAUGGCUAAAGUAGCACAGUUGACAAUCUAUCAUCUAGAUAUAGGUUAUUACUUAAGUAGACUGAAUCUGAUUAUAAAUCAGGUUUCAUGCAUUCCCUAUGUGCCAGGUUUCUUGAUACAGAGAACAUUUGUAGGGAAAACAUUUAAUUAAGACAUGGCUUUCCAUAAAAUGUGCUAGCCUAUCACGCCAUUUCUUCCUUUUUAAUAUUUGAGGGGUUGCCUCUCUCAGCUUUGGCGCCCUCCUCCUCUGUACAGGGUAGCUUCUUCCUUCUCUUUUCCUUCUUGCUUAUUGAACUCUCUGCUCCUUAAAACCACUCCACGUGUGUCCGUGUCCUUGUAUCUAAGCUGGCAUGAGGACCAAAAACCCUGGUGCUCCACCACUCAUCGGAGCCACAUCAUUUUGGUGCGUUGGCCGAGAAAGGAAAUUCAUUCAUCAGACUGAGUCAAGGAAACUUAUUUUAAACUAUUUAUGGCCUUUAAUAAUUGAGUAAGGUGUACUCCUAUGAACAAAAUUUGAAGCAUGUUUAUUUCUCUGCCUGGUUCCUCUAGAAUUUGGAAAUUAUCUGUCUGGAAGCUCUGAGUUUAUCUUGGGACCUCAAGAGGAGAGGAUCACCCAACUCACAGCAAUCAAACUCCAAAUGGUGCUAUAAACUGAACCACACAUGGACACGUCAGUCUUCCGAGGACCCUUAGAUCAACCCCAGGAGGAGCCCUAGCUGCUGUUCCCCAUUCGACGCCCCUUUCCAGCAGGAAGUAGCCAGAAGACAUCGUCGCCCAAACCUCUAACAGCAGUUAGUGCGGCAUCUCCACAGGGGGGAAUGUUGUAGGAGUUAUUGAUAAAUUAUUUUAGGCAGAUAGAGAGGAAAAGGGGUCCUUAGGAAGUUUUUGUUUUUUAAAGCACGUCUGGAAAAGUUUCUUGUAAAGCUCCAGCUCUUAAAGCCAGGCCAGUUACCCGAUAUCCAAAUGCCAGCCAUUAGAAAGUGGGUCCACCCAAACAUGGCGAUUCCUGUGGACUUCUUGCCCUUUCCCCACAUUCCUGGAUACAUGGACACCCCGAAGUAUCCCCACCUGUGUAGAAGAUCAUGGUGCCCUGCAUUUGCAUAUUAAAAGGCUAGGGUGGGAGAGCCAGCUUUUCCUGCGGGCUACGUGAAUGACAUGCCUAGUCAAACCAAUCCCCUGAGCCUGUGCAAAUCAGACACUGCCUCCUCCAGCCUCUGUAUAUAUACCUAGCUGGUAUCUGUGGCAGGUGGGGUUCCCUCUCUUGGCUUUGGAGCCCCCCUUCCUCUGUCUCUGUACAGGGGAGCUUCUUCCUUUUCCCUUCCCUCUUGCUUCUUCUUGCCUAUUAAACUCUCUCUGCUCCUUAAAAAUAAAAAAAACUAUAUUUGAAACAUUUCUAUAAUUACAUGACUGGUCGUUUAUAACUAAAUGACUGGAAUUCUCAGAAGAGAAAGCCAUUUAUUCAGAGCCAAGCUAUUCAGGUAAGUAUGGCUAUCCUGUUCUUUGAAGUGGUUCACUUCAACUCAACAAACUGCCAAUAUAAAUAUGACCUUGCUCUCUCCUUCCCAGCAGACAGGCCCAACUAACACACGUCCUUCUCCAAUUCCCCACCUUAAACAAUUCCUGUAUCUCACAGAAUGGCAACUGUGGCCACAAGAGAAAAAUAUAUACACUUGUGGGCUUUUCUAAAGAAAUAUAGUUAGAGCUAACUGGUUUGGUGAUUUUGUAUGUAUGUGAUUGCUGAAGAUGAAGGUUCAAAAAGGAGGAAAUCAGGACCUGAGCCUGGAAGGAUAAUGAAGAAUAGUUACUGGGGAAGAAUCCUGGGCACACUGUUAUGCUAGCCCUGCUCUAAUUAGAUUUAAAUGUUCUGCGAGUGUUAACAUGAACUAAACCCUACACAGAAAAUUUAAAAAAAAAACAAAAAAAACAAUGUUUCAGGUAGUUCCACAAGUAAGAAAAACUGGAUUUGGAUUUUGUAUAUGGCCAUAGUAAAAAAAUUCCAAGAAAGCUUUGGUUUCUUUUUUAAAGCUGACAAAGAUGUCCCCUUUGCCUUCAAGUCUUAAUUUUAGAAGGGUGACGAUUAAAAUUGUAUUUUCCAAGCACCCCUGGGAACCAGCUUGGAGCUGUUAACUCCAACCAAGGUGGAUGGAGUUAACAAACACAUUUCACUCUGGAAAUCACCUAAAUUAGAGGGAGAAUGAAUGGAUCUUGCCAAAAGGACUCAAACAGGCAAUAACUUUACAAUUAAAAAGAGAAAAGUGUCAAUAGCAAUAUAAGAAAGACAAAAUUGCAUCAGGACACACAUUGCAAAUAUGAGCUCACAAAAGGAAGCAGGUAGUAGAUCUUCACCUAUUUGUCCUACUGAGAGGGACAGAGAAUAUAUAAAGAGUAGUUAAAGAGUGAGAAUUUAAUGUAUUUUUCUCCUCAUUUUACCUGAGAGACAAAUGGGCUAAGAAAAGAUGGUACAAGCCAGAACAUUUUUGUUCUGACGGCUCUGCUCAAAUUAGCGUGUUUCAUAACCUUGAAGUACUAGGGUAAUUAUUCUGGCCUGACUAAUUUAAAUUAUAAUAUCAACAAGAUUCCAAGACUGAGUCUUAAAACGGCAGGGUUUCCAAACUGCGGCUUUCCAGUCCUCUUCUUCCGAGUGACUGCAGACAUACAGCUGGAGAGAAAGUGAGGAGAAAAAUACCAUGCAGGAGGACUUGACCUGCAGACAGCUGGCCUAGACGGGGCUCAUCAGAGAGAACACCAGCCACUCCACUCCCAGAACCACGGUGGCUGUUUACAGAGCAUUCACUGUGCACCAGACACUGUCCUAAGAGCACUGAUCCAUGGUCUCCUUAAAACACACCUUGAGACACCUAUCUUCACAAGUAAGAAAACAGAAGCCAAGAGAGUCACACAACUCAUAGGUUUGCUUUAACCCUGGCAGUCUGGUUCCUGAGCCCAUGCUCUUAAAGCGCUAUGAUAUAUUGCCUCAUGCCCCGAAAUUCUGUCAAAUACAUUCUAAAAAGGUUUAUAUUUAAAUAUCAGCAUCCUUGAUGUGACAGAACCUAAAUAUGUAGAAAAUCUUGAGAGAAAGGUCUCAUUAUUUCCUGAUGCCACCCAUGAGCACUUGUACCCAACUUACACGGCUUCCGUUCUGUGGAGCACACUUUACAAGCAGUCACGACUGUGCCCAUCUAGCUGGAAGUAGAGGGCAGAGAUCAGUGGCUUCGUCUCACAGGGCCGUAGUCUGGUACUGCCAACGGUGGCUUGGCCCAGCUGUGACCGGGACACUCAUGACCAGGACAGGCACUCAUGUAACGACCAAGAGCCUCUUCCCAUCAGGGCACAACAGUGCUCACAAUGCUUGGUUGCUGCUGGAGUUCCUGUCUUGGCGUGAUACUGGGAGGAAAAAGUGCCCAAGAGUUCUGUGCUUAGGGAUGCUUUCUGGGUGGUCUCCAAGUGCCUGUGGUAACCCCUUCAAACAGUAGCCUUCACAUAUUUAAGGGGCUCCUAACUAUGCAUAUUUCUACACUUUCGCCAAGAAAAAAUCCUGUCAGCUCCAGGAUGAGUUCAAAUAUAUAUGUGUACAAAGCUGCAAGUUCAUAUCCUGUUAUUUUGUAAUACAUAAUGAACAUAUAAUCCAACCAGACCUUCAUUUAAAAAUCAGCAUACUCAUGGCCUCACCUGUUUAACCCUUGAAUGCCCUUUUGGAUGUACAAUUAAUAUAAUUAUUUGAAAACAUGAUUGAGAGCAAUUGGUUGGCAGUUUGACUAUACCUGUAAGCCAACCUUGCAAAGACGAAAUCUCAUUCUGGCUCCCUUUCCUAAGGCCCUAGGGUGAAAUCGUUGGUGUAUCAUUUAAUUUCAUAAAUACAGGGGAUUACCAGGCAAUUAAAAAGUAGAAUUAUUUUAAAGCUUGGAAGAAGAAGAAUAGGUACAUCUUUUCUUUGAGUCUAUUUUAUAUAUUGCUUGACACCAAGCAAAGGUGCCCAAUAAAAUGAAACUAUGGCUGUUUGAUCAAUGGCUGAGUAUGAUCCAAAUUUAAUGAAACUCAAAGAAUGAAUGAAUGAAGAAACUAUUAAUUGAAUAUUUGUAAGAGUUUUUUCCAUUCAUUCAUCCAUUCUAUCUGUGCCUAAAUGCCUAAUGUGAAUUUCAGGAAGGCAAAACAAACAAACAACCCCAAAAAAG
rnacentral:lncRNA from 1 species